AAGGAUCAUUAAUGUAAUUGAUGUUCGACGAGGUUGUUGCUGGCCGAUUGUGCAUGUGCACGCCUUGCCGUCUUGUCCAUUCAUCACACCUGUGCACCAUUGUAGCUGGGGGGAUGAUCACGGGAUCGUUGCAGAUCCUGAAUGCCCCUCGCUAUGAACGUUGUUAUAACGCCCUUGAUAAAAAGUAGAUUUGGAAUGUUAUUGGAAAAUGAAAUACAACUUUCAGCAACGGAUCUCUUGGCUCUC
rnacentral:misc_RNA from 1 species